UGCAUACAUGUUUCAGAGGGUGCUGCAGAGGGAGGGGCAGAGACUACAGUUCUGUUUUGCAGGGACCAUGGUGACCACGAACCCCACAAAACUGCCCACUGAAUUUGUGGAUACCUGUCAAGAUGGAUAGUCUGCUCUGGGUUAACUUCAUUAGGAACAGCUGUGGCUUGGUGCAGGCACAGAGCUGGACAAAUAUCCAAAAGAGCUACAAUGUCUUCUGCUCUGUCACUGAACACAACAAGAUGCUGCUCAGUAGAAGUUUCUCUGAUGAUCUGGAAGGGAAGCACAGAUUCAUGCCAAAAAGAAAUCUGCUGACCUGACACAGGGACUGUUCUCCCGCUCUGAUCUUAUAAGUACACAGGCGAGCAAGUAUUAAAUGUGCAGGAGCUCCAUGAUGUCUCCUCAGGAAUUGUUCUCAGUUGUUCUCAUUGAUUAACAAUGCUUCAUUUGGCAAAUGUCAUAUCACUUAGGUUAUUGGAAGAUGUGGCUACAUGAUACCUCAUGAACUGGACACUAAUUCCUAUUAAAUCUACCGGGGGGAAAAUAAAUAAAUAAAUAAAUGUGCCCCAGAUGAAACCCUAGGACUCAUAAAAUGAUGAAAAUAUCCUUUCUACUUUUUUUAAGAUUUUUUUUUUUUUUUUAAUGAUGAAGUUACAUAUUUUUCAACUGAUCGUGUUUUUUGAGAACUGAUACACAAAGGCUGGAUGUUUGGAACUGGCAAAGGUAUACAGAGUAGAGAGUAAGUAGCAUUUUUGGGAGAUAUACAGUGAUAUAUAGUAGGCCUCCAUAUUGCCAUGGUCUACAUACAUGUACCUGUAUAUCAAGCAUCCACUUUUGCAUUAGAAUGCUAAGUAUCUCUCUAUGUACAUAUUAAAACUCUGACAACACACUUAUGUGCACUUGGGCUAAUCUUGAUAUAUUUAUUUUCUAUAAGACAGGUGCCCACAUAAUGGAUACUUUAUUUAUAUUUUUAUUGAAGAAAUAUUAUUGCUGCCCUAGGAAGCAUUUGAAAUACAGAACGCUGGGAAAGUGUGAUGUAGAAAUAGUAGUACUUGUUUGCCAUUUUCUGAAAUUCUUCUUACAGCCACAAUUGUAGAGGCAAGACCCUAAGCUAGCUGGACUUUUGGUUUUAUCAACUAUUGUUAUUGUUAUGUACAUAAACAGAAUUAUAUUUUAUGCAGAAGAAACAUUCUCAGAAACAAGGCAAGUUGCAAAAAUUAAGAAGUCAUAUGGUUAGCACUUAAACAAAUCCAGCCCUUACAGGAGGUACCAUUAGAAUGCUCAGUGCAAAAGUAUCAGUGGUUGUAAAUGGUUACACCAGUAGAGCGAAAUACUAGAAGGACUUGGAUCUACAGGAUUCAGUUAAACAGCCCUUGUCCUCUCAGGUGUGGUCCGUGUCUACUUAUGGCAAGAACAACCCAGGAAUUCAGUGGCUGUCUGCACUGCCCCAUACCCAGUUGGCCCUGGGGCCAACUUGCAACAUGAGCCAAGGGCUGAAGGGGAUGGUCUUGUCCUCACUUAGUGAGGAUACACAGAACAGCAGCUGAAAUGAAACACAAAAUGGCAGUUUAUCUGCUGAAAGUGCAGCAACAAUGGCUGGGGAACAAUCCUUGGUGAUGCCUCAAAAUAAGGUCUCCAACCUCUCUAUCAAAUUCAAAAACUGUUUUUUGUUUGUUGUUGGUUUUUUUUAGCAUUCCGGUUCUAGCCAAAGAUAUAACAAUGCCAUGUGCAAUGACAUGCAAAUUCACCAAGAUCUAUCCAGAGUGAAGGACUUCGGAUUAAUGAAAAAGUCCUUUCAGUACUUAAAGGGGACUUACAAAAAAGCAAUAUUCUACAUCCGCAGAUAGUGAUAGGACAAAGGGAGAUGUUUUUAAACUAAAAGAGGGCAGAUUUAGAUUAGACAUUAGGAACAACUUCUUUACUCAGAGGGUGGUGAGGUACUGGAACAAAUUGCCCAGAGAAGCUGUGGAUGCCCCAUCUCUGGAAGUGUUCAAGGCCAGGCUGGAUUGGCCUUAGAGCAACCUGGUCUUGUGCAAGGUUUCCCUGCCCACGGCAGAGGGAUUGGAACUAGAUUGUCUUUCAGAUCCCUUCCAACCCAAGCCAUUUUAUGAUUCUAUGAAAAUCUCAUAUUUUGUAAGUAUAGUGUUUGCCUGAACCACACUGAAACCAGCAUCUUCUUUGUUUUUUCACUGUAACACAGGCAAAUUUUAAGAUUAAGGAAAGUAAAAUUAAAAAAUUACCUGCAUUUCAAUUUUUGACCAGGCAUAUUUUGCCCUUUAUGGGUCACUUGCUAUACUCUAAGCAGAUCUUCCACAUAAAAAAUAUUACAUAAGCUAUGAAUGAUACAAGAUACUUUAAGAAUCCACCUUCUGUUUGGCUAAGACCUUAAUUUCCUAACACUCUACAAUAUAUCUCAAGGAGAUAUCUAUUUCAUGAUAUCAUAUUUUAUAAAAGUGGCAGCACUACAUUUGCAAGAGUUGCAUGCAAAGGCAGAUCACCUUGCUUCAGAAGCCUUGUGAAAACACCUAUUUUUCCUUUGCAGUGCAGCGUGUAGCAGGGACAUAGUGAGUCAAGAAAGUUUCCUUUCUAAUAAAAUUGAAGCUUCAUAUGGAAAAUUACCACAUGAACAAAUGAGACCUUAGUAGAACGAUCUCAGAGAACUCAGGGAAAUUGCCUAUCCUAUACGUAAAGACAAAUGACUAAACUCGAUAGUAUAAAUAUAGUUUUUUUAUGACCCAAACUGUAAAGAGUUUAAAUUCCUUAAAAAUGUGUGGGUAAAACCUAUUUUUAAACAAAGACAUCUCUAAAUUUUUUUCAAAAAUAAUUUAGAUGCUGUUGCAGUUCCUUACUACAUGUGGUCAGUUUGAAGCAGACCAAACUUUGUUCUAAUAUGACCAUGAACAUUGCUGACUCCUUAAAAACAACGAUUACAGUGAUCAUGUCUGACGUUUCAGCAGCAUCAGCAGAAUUUCUCCACAACAAGAAGCCAUGAAGAGACUCUGCUGUGGGAUGGAGGAGACCAUGCCUACAGCCUGUGCUUGAGUGGUGACAAAGGUCUACAUAGAAGAUCUAGGAUGCCUUUUCCAAAACUUCCAGUGUUGUCAGUCUUGGCUCCACAGUAGGAGCCUGAGCCCCUUUCCAGCAGAGUGGUGAAGUCCAGUCAGGCUGCAGACCUGGAGUGCACAGCCUUACCCUGGAAAGGUUCCUGCAGCUCCCUGAGCAAGAGCUGCAGACGCUGGAAUCUGCAGGCGGCUGGAGCCAGACACUGCCUGGCAGUGUUACAUCUGGCCAGGUUCAGAAUCCAGGUCAGGUUCAAAUUCUCUGAAAGUUUGUUAAAUCUGAGACAUUUUGGACAAGACACUCAAGACUCAACAAAAAGGCAUUUUUAAAUGAAAUUCUUUCACUGUGCAAUUCACAACAAAUACUAACUGUGAGUUAGCUCAUUAUGUAAACAGCAAAGUGUUGAAUUUUGGCUGCCUUCAAUACCUCUACUCUACUGCACUUUUCUAACCAGAAUAUCAGUGUCUAGUAUGAUUUUAAUUAAGCUUCUUUCUCUUGAUACUUAUGUGAGUGUUAUCACACUGUCUGAUUUUUUUUACAGUCACUGUUAAAUGUUAUUCCCCACAAAGCCCUUAACAUAAGAAAAAUAAGUCCAUUUUGAAGCCCAAGGAUAAAACACCAGAUGUAAAUACAGGCUUAUUUGUGGAUGCACCAAAAUAUGAACUUAAUUUUUGGAGUCCUCAUUCUUACCAUCUAUGCUGACCUUAGAACCUCUGUCUCCAUCUUUUUCCCUUCACUCCAGCAUUACAGUCUCAACUCCACAAUUUCAUCUUUCAGCUGCAUGUAUUUAAUUAUGAGUCACUAUCCCAAAAGAAGAACAAAGUGAUUACACUUCCAUGUGAAUUUGCAGAAUGUUAAUCUGGUUAUAGAUACACAAAUGAAAAUAAUGUAUGAGCAUAUAAAUAGAAAACAAAAGCUUUAUUGUGGCUUCUUUCAAAGUCUGGAACGCAUCUCAGAAGACAAGAAGGAAACCAAGAACAGUCUUGAUUCCAGCUGAUAAAUGUUUGUUCUCUAAAGGUUUUAAUCCAUGGCAGAGAAGGACAAUGAAUCAUGUCCAACAUCAGUGGCUAAAUCUAUUAAUUCAAUUUUUAUUUUAGGAAUAAGAAUACUCCAGCAAAAUUCAUCUAAAAAUGAGCUGUAGAGGUGUUUAACUAAUCAGCAUAUAAAUAAAAAUAGCUAGGAAUUAUCAGUGUUAA